rnacentral:miRNA from 1 species
AGAUAAGCAGCAAAAAAUGUUUUAGUAUAACUAUGUCCUGUUCAAUAUUUGGGACAUAAUUAUGCUAAAAAAGUUAUUUGUUAUUUAUCUGAAACUCCACUGAGCAU